CNUANCAUGCAGUCGAGCGGUAGGCCCUUCGGGGUACACGAGCGGCGAACGGGUGAGUAACACGUGGGUGAUCUGCCUUGCACUUCGGGAUAAGCCUGGGAAACUGGGUCUAAUACCGGAUAUGACCCGAGAAUGCAUGUUCUCGGGUGGAAAGAUUUAUCGGUGCGAGAUGGGCCCGCGGCCUAUCAGCUUGUUGGUGAGGUAACGGCUCACCAAGGCGACGACGGGUAGCCGACCUGAGAGGGUGACCGGCCACACUGGGACUGAGACACGGCCCAGAUUCCUACGGGAGGCAGCAGUGGGGAAUAUUGCACAAUGGGCGAAAGCCUGAUGCAGCGACGCCGCUUGCGGGAUGACGGCCUUCGGGUUGUAAACCGCUUUUGACAGGGACGAAGCGCAAGUGACUGUACCUGUAGAAUAAGGACCGGCCAACUACGUGCCAGCAGCCGCGGUAAUACGUAGGGUCCGAGCGUUGUCCGGAAUUACUGGGCGUAAAGAGCUUGUAGGCGGUUCGUCGCGUCGUUUGUGAAAACUUGGGGCUCAACCUUAAGCUUGCCGGCGAUACGGGCGGACUAGAGUACUUCAGGGGAGACUGGAAUUCCUGGUGUAGCGGUGAAAUGCGCAGAUAUCAGGAGGAACACCGGUGGCGAAGGCGGGUCUCUGGGAAGUAACUGACGCUGAGAAGCGAAAGCAUGGGUAGCAAACAGGAUUAGAUACCCUGGUAGUCCAUGCCGUAAACGGUGGGUACUAGGUGUGGGGCUCCUUCCACGGACUCCGUGCCGUAGCUAACGCAUUAAGUACCCCGCCUGGGGAGUACGGCCGCAAGGCUAAAACUCAAAGAAAUUGACGGGGGCCCGCACAAGCGGCGGAGCAUGUGGAUUAAUUCGAUGCAACGCGAAGAACCUUACCUGGGUUUGACAUACACCGGAAACCUGCAGAGAUGUAGGCCCCCUUGUGGUCGGUGUACAGGUGGUGCAUGGCNGUCGUCAGCUCGUGUCGUGAGAUGUUGGGUUAAGUCCCGCAACGAGCGCAACCCUUAUCUUAUGUUGCCAGCGCGUAAUGGCGGGGACUCGUGAGAGACUGCCGGGGUCAACUCGGAGGAAGGUGGGGACGACGUCAAGUCAUCAUGCCCCUUAUGUCCAGGGCUUCACACAUGCUACAAUGGCCGGUACAGAGGGCUGCGAUACCGCGAGGUGGAGCGAAUCCCUUAAAGCCGGUCUCAGUUCGGAUCGGGGUCUGCAACUCGACCCCGUGAAGUUGGAGUCGCUAGUAAUCGCAGAUCAGCAACGCUGCGGUGAAUACGUUCCCGGGCCUUGUACACACCGCCCGUCACGUCAUGAAAGUCGGUAACACCCGAAGCCGGUGGCCUAACCCCNNU
rnacentral:rRNA from 1 species